UACGUAGGGUGCAAGCGUUGUCCGGAAUUAUUGGGCGUAAAGAGCUCGUAGGUGGCCUGUCGCGUCGGCUGUGAAAACUCGGGGCUCAACUCCGAGCUUGCAGUCGAUACGGGCAGGCUAGAGUUCGGCAGGGGAGACUGGAAUUCCUGGUGUAGCGGUGAAAUGCGCAGAUAUCAGGAGGAACACCGGUGGCGAAAGCGGGUCUCUGGGCCGAUACUGACACUGAGGAGCGAAAGCGUGGGGGGCGAACAGG
rnacentral:rRNA from 1 species